AACACAACCAUUUUAUUUUUUGUUAACCGACACUGAAAUUCCAAAAGAAGACGGAGAAAGGGACACAAAAAGGAGAAGAAGAACCGCUAGAACCGGAGCCCCGACAAUGGCGAGAAACGCAAGACAACUACCAUUACCGGCGACCACCGGAACAACAACAACAACAACAAUAACCCUAACCCUAAACAACUCAUCAGAAUCCUCCUCGUCCUCCUCAUCGUCUGAACAGCAGCAGCAACAUCCAACAGAAACACUAACUCUGAAACUGAAACCGAAGAAGAAGAGCGUUUCAUGGAAGCAAGGUACUGUCGACAACGAGUUCCUCAACAAGAAGAGCUCUAAGAUUUGCUGUAUAUUUCACAAGGAAAAGCCUUUUGAUGAGGAUGACAGCGAUGACGAUGAAAAUGAAAACCAAUCAAAUAAGAAGGAUCACCAUUGUUGUAAAUCGGAGGAUCGCGGUGAAGCCAGUAUCAGCAAUUGCGAAGAUAAUUGAUCGCCUUUGGAUUUCCUGGAACAAAAAUCAAGAAGAACAGCAGAAUGCAUUGAAGUCAAUUGCUCAAAUACAUCAUUGGGUUCUUUGGGAAUAGAAACAGAAGAUGUUCUGAAGGAAAAGAGUUGCAGUAUCGAUCACCUCUGAGAUAUAUUUUUUUCCUCUCUUAUCUUAGUGGUGUGAAAAUGCACUUGAAAUUGACAUAGAUCACAUGAGAAUAUAUCAAUUCCCUGCAUAGUUGAGCAGGAAUCCCUUUUGUACUUGCACAUACUUUGGUGCUGUAACAUAUCAAAGGCAUCUGGACAUAUCCUACACAUACUUUGUGGGCAAACAAAUUAUGCCCCUUAACUUGCAAGUUAUGUAGAUAAAAUCCCCUAAAAGCUCACGUGA